AACUGCCCCUCAAAGUGUGGACAACCUUCCUCAUUUGCGAAGAGUGUCCCAAUGGCAAUGCAGGGAUCAGAACUCAUCCUCUUUCAGCAUAGGUACCUCCAGUCAGAGUGAGUCACGCUCAUCUUCGUCCCUGGCUAGACCAGAGGACAACUUCUCAGACACCGGCUCCAGUGAGGACCAAACAAUCUUCAGUAUGGAUCUGGAUAGCGGAUCUUCACAGAUUCUGCCCCGAAAGGAGCGCCAGGGUGGUGGCAGCAGCUCAGGUGCUCCUUCUGAGUGCUCCUUUGAGAGUGACAUUCCAGCAGCGGGUUUCAAUGGCAAGCGCAACAGCCUUAUCGAGAUCUCACUGUCCUCUCUCAAAGCAUUAGAGGGUGAAGAAGCCGAUCAGGGCCAGGAUAUCUUCUCAGAUUCAAUGAGCGACCAAACAGAGCCGGAAACUAGGGGUGGAGUUGGAUUCUUCUUCAAGGAUGAAGCUCGACCUGAGGAUGAGAUGGAGAGGAGAAGAGCUGCAUUACUUGAGAAACAACAAAAGAGAGCAGAGGAGAUAAAGAGACGAAGACAGGAACAAGAAAGGGAGAGGGAGGCAAGUAGGCCAUCUUCAGUGGAUGAGCCUCGCAGAGGAGAGGAGAGACCCCGAACUCCUUCUACCCCUCCGCCUCCACGCACUCCUCCACCAGAGGGCACUUCUCAUCGGCGUGGAGACUUCACCCGCCAGG
ensembl:lncRNA